rnacentral:lncRNA from 1 species
GGCCGGUAUAUGCUGAUUGACAGAUCAUGCUUACUUAAGACGCAAUCAGUUUCAGUGCGAAGACAUUUGGUCGACCCAAGGUGAACCCCCAACAUGACAUCUGCAUGGUUUCCCAUAUCACCCAAUUCCCCAUCUCUGUCCCUCCAUGGGACCCAGCAGUUUGCUUUGAGCCUCCAACAUAACACUGUCACUAUGCCAAAACAGCACAAAGGAGACACCACAAUAGUGACUUAGAACUGAAACGCGUCACUAAUAAAUAUAUUAGUGACGCGGCGGAACGAAGCGCGUCGCUGCUAAGUUUUUGCCCAUGUCAUAGGAAUAAGACGCGUCACUAAUG